AACGAACGCUGGCGGCAUGCCUAACACAUGCAAGUCGAACGAGACCUUCGGGUCUAGUGGCGCACGGGUGCGUAACGCGUGGGAACCUGCCCUUAGGUUCGGAAUAACUCCCCGAAAGGGGUGCUAAUAUCGGAUAAUGUCUUCGGACCAAAGAUUUAUCGCCUUUGGAUGGGCCCGCGUUGGAUUAGCUAGUUGGUAGGGUAAAAGCCUACCAAGGCGACGAUCCAUAGCUGGUUUGAGAGGAUGAUCAGCCACACUGGGACUGAGACACGGCCCAGACUCCUACGGGAGGCAGCAGUGGGGAAUAUGGGACAAUGGGCGAAAGCAUGAUCCAGCAAGGCCGCGUGAGUGAUGAAGGCCUUAGGAUUGUAAAGCUCUUUUACCCGGGAUGAUAAUGACAGUACCGGGAGAAUAAGCACCGGCUAACUCCGU
rnacentral:rRNA from 1 species